GCCUAGCCCUAAAUCUUGAUACUUCCCCCACUAAAGUAUCCGCCUGAGAACUACGAGCACAAACGCUUAAAACUCUAAGGACUUGGCGGUGCUCCAAACCCACCUAGAGGAGCCUGUCCUAUAAUCGAUAAUCCACGAUGCACCCAACCACUCCUUGCCAAUGCAGCCUACAUACCGCCGUCGCCAGCCCACCUCCCCUGAGAGAGCCAUAGUGAGCAUAAUAGCCUACCACGCUAGCAAGACAGGUCAAGGUAUAGCCUAUGAAGUGGAAGAGAUGGGCUACAUUUUCUAAAUUAGAAAACCCCACGAAAGAGGGCAUGAAACUGCCCCCGGAAGGCGGAUUUAGCAGUAAAGAGGGACAAUAGAGCCCCCUUUAAACUGGCUCUGGAGCACGU
rnacentral:rRNA from 2 species